rnacentral:rRNA from 1 species
GACAGAGGGUGCAAACGUUGUUCGGAAUUACUGGGGCGUAAAGCGCGUGUAGGCUGCUUCGCAAGUCGGAUGUGAAAGCCCUGGGCUCAACCCAGGAAGUGCAUUCGAAACUGCAGAGCUGGAGUCCUGGAGAGGAAGGCGGAAUUCUCGGUGUAGAGGUGAAAUUCGUAGAUAGUCGGGAGGAACACCAGUGGCGAAGGGCGGGUCUCUGGGGCAACAACUGGACGCUGAGGAGCGGAAAGCGUGGGGAGCGAACGAGGAUUGAGAUACCC